rnacentral:rRNA from 1 species
UACGGAGGGGCUAGCGUUGUUCGGAAUUACUGGGCGUAAAGCGCACGUAGGCGGCUUUGUAAGUUAGAGGUGAAAGCCCGGGGCUCAACUCCGGAAUUGCCUUUAAGACUGCAUCGCUAGAAUUGUGGAGAGGUAAGUGGAAUUCCGAGUGUAGAGGUGAAAUUCGUAGAUAUUCGGAAGAACACCAGUGGCGAAGGCGACUUACUGGACACAUAUUGACGCUGAGGUGGACGAAAAGCGGUGGGGAGCAAACAGG